UUAUAUUCCCCUAGCAUAUAAGC
rnacentral:piRNA from 1 species